ACACACACAGUACCUUGCAACAAGAGGACCAAAAUAACAGGCACCUGUUGCUGUACACCACAAUGUCUACAACAAGGGCCAAAUUAGAGCAUCGUACUAGCAACAACAAAUUCAAUCACGUGUGCAACGCUGGCCUAGAAUAAACUACUUCACGCAAACCUAUGAUGUGCUUCAUGCAAAAAGCAGCGUAAGUAUGAACAUUGAAUGAUGUUGAGAGAAAAAAGAAGCCUUUUAUGAUGCUACAUGCACUCAAUGUCUGAAUUGAGUUAACCUAUUAACCAGGGUUAUUGUAAAUGUUAGUAAUGCAGUCUGACUUUUACAUUAUCAAACUGAUUUCUGACACAAGGGUUUAUUAUUCGACCCCUAUGGUUAGAUGAUCAGUGGACAUACCAUGGACAUGGAGUCUCAUCCACCAAGUAUGCAGAGAGACCCAAGAAGACCUGCCUAAGGUUUGGCCGCUGAAAGGACCAGAGAGGUCAUCAGGCUGCUGAUUAUCCUGCACCCCUGUCACCAUCACCUGGACUCCAUCACCUCCUUGAUUAUCUUCCCUAUAUCUGUCACUCCCCUUGGUUCUUUCCUCAGGUGUUAUUGACUCUGUUUUCUUGUCGCUACAUUGUUUGUGGUUCGUGUUCAUUGUUUCUUUUAUUUAUUAAAACACUCACUCCCUGAACGUGCUUACCGACUCUCAGCUCGCUCAUUACAGAAUAUCACCUCACCUAAGGGAAGCAUCAGGGAGUGUUGUUUUGUGUGUGUCAGAGUAAUGACGGCUGGUCCGGGAACUGCUACAGGCUCUCAUGCCUCAACCAGAUCGCCAGGCUCCCCUGCCUCAGCCGGCUCGUCAGGCUCUCAUGCCUCAGCCGAGUUGCUAGGCUCCCCUGCCUUAGUCGGAUGCCAGGGUCCCCUAUUAGUCAGCUCAUCUGGCUUUCAUGCCUUAGCCGGAUCGCUAAGCUCCCCUGCCUCAGCCGGCUCAUUGGGCUUUCAUGCCUCCGCCGGAUUGUCAGGCUCCCCUGCUUCCACCGGCUCGUCAGGUUCUCAUGCCUCAGCUGGAUCGCCAGGCUCCCCUGUCUCAAUCGAUCUGUCAGGUUCCCGCGCCCCAGCUGACUCGACAGGUUCCCGUUCCUCAGCUGGCGUGACAGGUUCUCGCGCAUCAGCAGGGGUGACCGGUCCGCUCCUGAUCCCCCGGGUUCGUCCCCUCUGACGGCAUCCUGCACGUCGGGGAGGGGGUACUGUCACCUAUAGGCUGCUGAUUAUCCCGCACACCUGUCACCAUCGUCUCGUGCACCUGCGCCUCAUGACACUCACCUGGACUCGAUCACCUUCUUGAUUAUCUUCCCUAUAUCUGUCACUCCCCUUGGUUAUUUCCGGAGGUGUUAUUGACUCUGUUUUCAUGUCGGUGCAUUGUUUGUGUUUCGUGUUCAUAGUUUCUUUUAUUAAAACACUCACUCCCUGAA